UGGGGGAAUAAACCCACUACUCCUGGACUGAAACAACAGCAUAGUAUGCUUUACGAGGGGCUUGCCCCAUAUUAGUUAGUUGGUAGGGUAAUGGCCUACCAAGACGAUGAUGUGUAGCUGGACUGAGAGGUUGAACAGCCACAUUGGGACUGAGACACGGCCCAAACUCCUACGGGAGGCAGCAGUAGGGAAUUUUCGGCAAUGGAGGAAACUCUGACCGAGCAACGCCGCGUGAAUGACGAAGUACUUCGGUAUGUAAAGUUCUUUUAUCAAGGAAGAAAAGCAAAUGGCGAACCAUUUGUUUGCCGGUACUUGAUGAAUAAGCCCCGGCUAAUUAUGUGCCAGCAGCCGCGGUAAGACAUAAGGGGCAAGUGUUAUCCGGAAUUAUUGGGCGUAAAGGGUGCGUAGGCGGUCUAGUAAGUCAGUGGUGUAAUGGCAACGCUUAACGUUGUCCGGCUAUUGAAACUGCUAAACUUGAGUUAGAUAGAGGCGAGUGGAAUUCCAUGUGUAGCGGUAAAAUGCGUAAAUAUAUGGAGGAACACCAGAGGCGUAGGCGGCUCGCUGGGUCUUAACUGACGCUGAGGCACGAAAGCGUGGGGAGCAAACAGGAUUAGAUACCCUGGUAGUCCACGCCGUAAACGAUGAGUACUAAGUGUCGGGUUAAACCGGUACUGAAGUUAACACAUUAAGUACUCCGCCUGAGUAGUACGUACGCAAGUAUGAAACUUAAAGGAAUUGACGGGACUCCGCACAAGCGGUGGAUCAUGUUGUUUAAUUCGAAGAUACCCGAAAAACCUUACCAGGUCUUGACAUGUUUUUGCAAAAUGAUAGUAAUAUCGUGGAGGUUACCAGAAACACAGGUGGUGCAUGGUUGUCGUCAGCUCGUGUCGUGAGAUGUUAGGUUAAGUCCUAAAACGAGCGAAACCCUUAUCGUUAGUUGCCAGCACGUUAUGGUGGGGGACUUUAACGAGACUGCCAAUGAAAAAUUGGAAGGAAGGUGAGGAUCACGUCAAAUCAGCCUGCCCCCUAAUGACCUGGGGCUACAAAACGUGAUACCAAUUGGCUGUUUACAAAGGGGUAGCUGAAAACGCAAGUUUCUUGGGCCAAUCCCCCAAAAAACAGUCUCCAGUUCCGGAAUUGGAAGUCUGGCAACUCCGACUUUCAUGAAAGUUGGGACUCGCCUAGUAAAUCGCCGAAUCAGCAUGUUCGCGGUGGAAAUACCUUUCACCGGGGUUUGGUACCACCCCCCUACCACCGAAAAUUAUUUUGUUUGUUUUUUGG
rnacentral:rRNA from 1 species